rnacentral:rRNA from 1 species
GAUGAACGCUGGCGGCGUGCUUAACACAUGCAAGUCGAACGAUGAAGCCCAGCUUGCUGGGUGGAUUAGUGGCGAACGGGUGAGUAACACGUGAGUAACCUGCCCUUGACUCUGGGAUAAGCCUGGGAAACUGGGUCUAAUACUGGAUAUGACUUCUCAUCGCAUGGUGGGGGGUGGAAAGAUUUAUUGGUCUUGGAUGGACUCGCGGCCUAUCAGCUUGUUGGUGAGGUAAUGGCUCACCAAGGCGACGACGGGUAGCCGGCCUGAGAGGGUGACCGGCCACACUGGGGCUGGGACACGGCCCAGACUCCUACGGGAGGCAGCAGUGGGGAAUAUUGCACAAUGGGCGCAAGCCGGAUGCAGCGACGCCGCGUGAGGGAUGACGGCCUUCGGGUUGUAAACCUCUUUCAGUAGGGAAGAAGCGAGAGUGACGGUACCUGCAGAAGAAGCGCCGGCUAACUACGU